CCUACGGGUGGCAGCAGUGGGGAAUAUUGCACAAUGGGCGAAAGCCUGAUGCAGCAACGCCGCGUGAGUGAUGAAGGCCUUCGGGUCGUAAAACCCUGUCGAGAGGGAGAAAAGCCGAAAGGUUUGAUCUAUCUCUGGAGGAAGCACGGGCUAAGUUCGUGCCAGCAGCCGCGGUAAGACGAACCGUGCGAACGUUAUUCGGAAUCACUGGGCUUAAAGGGCGCGUAGGCGGGCCACCAAGUCCGGGGUGAAAUCCUCCAGCUCAACUGGAGAACUGCCUCGGAUACUGGAGGUCUCGAGGGGAUAGGGGCACGCGGAACUGUGGGUGGAGCGGUGAAAUGCGUUGAUAUCCAUAGGAACUCCGGUGGCGAAGGCGGCGUGCUGGAUCUCUUCUGACGCUGAGGCGCGAAAGCCAGGGGAUCAAACGGGAUUAGAUACCC
rnacentral:rRNA from 1 species